GGGUACACGAGUGGCGAACGGGUGAGUAACACGUGGGUGAUCUGCCCUGCACUUCGGGAUAAGCCCGGGAAACUGGGUCUAAUACCGGAUAGGACUGCGCGGUGCAUGCCGUGUGGUGGAAAGAUUUAUCGGUGCAGGAUGGGCCCGCGGCCUAUCAGCUUGUUGGUGGGGUAAUGGCCUACCAAGGCGACGACGGGUAGCCGGCCUGAGAGGGCGACCGGCCACACUGGGACUGAGACACGGCCCAGACUCCUACGGGAGGCAGCAGUGGGGAAUAUUGCACAAUGGGCGCAAGCCUGAUGCAGCGACGCCGCGUGAGGGAUGACGGCCUUCGGGUUGUAAACCUCUUUCAGCAGGGACGAAGCGUGAGUGACGGUACCUGCAGAAGAAGCACCGGCCAACUACGUGCCAGCAGCCGCGGUAAUACGUAGGGUGCAAGCGUUGUCCGGAAUUACUGGGCGUAAAGAGCUCGUAGGCGGUUUGUCGCGUCGUCUGUGAAAACCAGCAGCUCAACUGUUGGCUUGCAGGCGAUACGGGCAGACUUGAGUAUUUCAGGGGAGACUGGAAUUCCUGGUGUAGCGGUGAAAUGCGCAGAUAUCAGGAGGAACACCGGUGGCGAAGGCGGGUCUCUGGGAAAUAACUGACGCUGAGGAGCGAAAGCGUGGGUAGCGAACAGGAUUAGAUACCCUGGUAGUCCACGCCGUAAACGGUGGGCGCUAGGUGUGGGUUUCCUUCCACGGGAUCCGUGCCGUAGCUAACGCAUUAAGCGCCCCGCCUGGGGAGUACGGCCGCAAGGCUAAACUCAAAGGAAUUGACGGGGGCC
rnacentral:rRNA from 1 species